UUACCUAUUGUGCUUCGUACUCAAAACCGAAUUAACUUCAAACAUACAUUCAUCAAUUUUGUAACAAAUAGGAAAGAAGAGGAAAGAAAGCCUUUCAUAAUUUUUGUUCAUUUUCCAUUUUUUAUUCUUUUCGGUUCUCUUUUUCUUUGGUGGUCUAACCAGGGAGUUAGCAAAAAUUCUUGCAAGGCAUCCCUUCCAUUAUUUAUAUUCUGCAAUAUCAUUUAUAAUGUUCAUUUCCUAAUGUGAUCUGCAAUCUGGGUCACUUUUUGAUAUCAGUGGGAAUUGUUUGUACCCUGAAAACCUGGUCAGAAAGGCUGACGACUGCUUCUCUUAUAUUUUCCUUGAAUAGGCAACGAGGAAUAGUCUUAACUCACAUGUUAGCUUUCGUUAAUAAUCUUAGUCUUCUAUCUUUUACCUUGUAUUGUUGAUCAUCAGAUGAAAGCUGUUUCCUGAAGGUUGAAUUUGACUUUUCCAUUGACAGUUCUUCUAUUAUUUUUGGCAUCCAGCUUUUAUUUUAGCUUGUAGCAGAGAGUAUGGUUCGUCUUACCGGUCCAUACUGGUGUACUGAUCGGCCAUUGGUACGGUACGUACCAACGUACCAAUAUAUGGCACAGUGGGGCAUAUGAACAAACCGGUAUGUACUGUCCAUGCCGGUCCCUUGCUAGACCAGUAUGUACCAUCCGUACCAAGCGGUAUGCCAUGGUACAACGAACCUUGGCAUAGAGUACAUCUGUAUGCAAGCUAUCCUGAAUUUGACAAUGUGCUUAAUAUCUCAUUUUUCCAUGAAUGCACUGGUGUGCGUUGUGAUUUGUAAACUUUGACAUCCUAUGCUCUUUGCAAUAUCCAAACUCUUCAUUCAACACUUUGGUUGUGUCCUCUAGUUACUAUGAGAAUUUUAU
rnacentral:lncRNA from 1 species